ACCAUGAUCACCGGCGUGUCCGUGUCUGUGGGGAACCUCAGACUCCCCUUCUUCACCCACAGAGGCACACACACCUCUCCUGCAGCGCCAUCACAUGUCAGAAUGUGUAAAGGCAUCAACAGAUCAUUGACUGGGAUGAUUAUGGUACCUUGAGAGACGAGGCGAUGGAGAAGGAGCGGGGCUGGAUCUCGGGGAAAAGGUCCAGGAGAUAGUCCACUUUGAUUUCUGUUGUCGUGUGAGGGAAAUCUGUCAAAACCUGCAGCGAGACAAGCAUCACAUUCUUGCGCCCUCUUCUGUCACCUCCAGUGCCGUGCGUCGCGGCUGGUUGCAGUAGCUGUGCAGGUC